ACUGUAACCUUCCAAUGUGAUUAUGUGCCUGUCUUAUAUACAUGUUUCCUUAUCCCUAUCUUCUCAGAGAUCCAAAAAUCUGACUGUAGCCCCUCACCUCUGUCUGGAAGAUUAAUCCCCAGAUAGAUUAAGACCCCUGAAAGACAGCAUAGUCUAGAAGGAAGAUGAUGGAAAAGAUGAUGGACAGAACUAUGUAGGAGGUAGCUGUGAAGGGCUGUGGUUGGACCUUUUCUAUCAGGAAUCUAAAGUGGUUGCAGGUGCUGUAGAUGGAAAAUGAUGGAUUCAGAGUUGAGAAAGAAGAAAUCAGUCAGGAUCAUAUCUGGAAAAUUGCUCUGCAUUUUCAAUGAUCACCAAAGCUCAGUGCCACAGAAGCCCAUCUCUUUAACACCAAUAGUCUCUUACUAAAUGGCUGUGAAUUGUAAGAAUAAAAAUUACAAGUAAUCCUAAGGACAAGUAAUCCUAAGGACCAGAGAAGAAUGGGAAGCUUGUUACCACCAUCAUCACCACUUGGAAUUGAACUGCUCUUGGUUCCUGAUCCUUGGAGCAUCUAGAAUACUCUUGUUUCCUGUUCUUGGAAUUCCUAUUGG